rnacentral:rRNA from 1 species
ACGGGUGAGUAACACGUGGGCAACCUGCCCUUGAGACUGGGAUAACUUCGGGAAACCGGAGCUAAUACCGGAUAAUAUAAGGAACCUCCUGGUUCCUUAUUGAAGGAUGGUUUCGGCUAUCACUUAAGGAUGGGCCCGCGGCGCAUUAGCUAGUUGGUGAGGUAACGGCUCACCAAGGCGACGAUGCGUAGCCGACCUGAGAGGGUGAUCGGCCACACUGGGACUGAGACACGGCCAGACUCCUACGGGAGGCAGCAGUAGGGAAUCUUCCACAAUGGACGAAAGUCUGAUGGAGCAACGCCGCGUGAGUGAUGAAGGCCUUCGGGUCGUAAAGCUCUGUUGUUAGGGAAGAACAAGUGCGAGAGUAACUGCUCGCACCUUGACGGUACCUAACCAGAAAGCCACGGCUAACUACGUGCCAGCAGCCGCGGUAAUACGUAGGUGGCAAGCGUUAUCCGGAAUUAUUGGGCGUAAAGCGCGCGCAGGUGGUUUCUUAAGUCUGAUGUGAAAGCCCACGGCUCAACCGUGGAGGGUCAUUGGAAACUGGGGAACUUGAGUGCAGAAGAGGAAAGUGGAAUUCCA